rnacentral:rRNA from 1 species
AACGCUAUGCAGUGGACCACUUGGCUCGGGGGUCGAUGAAGAUUGUAGCUAGCUGCGAGUCGAAAUGUGAACUGCAGGACAAAUGAACAUCUUUGUUGAUAAUUUGUUGUCAUUUUAUUGAUAUAGAUAAAUAAACGAUA